rnacentral:rRNA from 1 species
CUUGCUUCUUUGAUGACGAGCGGCGGACGGGUGAGUAACGCGUGGGUAACCUGCCUCAUACAGGGGGAUAACAGUUAGAAAUGGCUGCUAAUACCGCAUAAGCGCACAGAGCUGCAUGGCUCAGUGUGAAAAACUCCGGUGGUAUGAGAUGGACCCGCGUCUGAUUAGGUAGUUGGUGGGGUAACGGCCUACCAAGCCGACGAUCAGUAGCCGACCUGAGAGGAUGAACGGCCACACUGGAACUGAGACACGGUCCAGACUCC